rnacentral:rRNA from 1 species
GCGCGAAAACUUUACAAUGCGAGAAAUCGUGAUAAGGGAACCCCGAGUGCCCGUAAAUUCGGGCUGUCCAUCAGUGUAAAUAACUGGUGAAGAAAGGGCCGGGCAAGACCGGUGCCAGCCGCCGCGGUAAUACCGGCGGCUCGAGUGGUGGCCACUAUUACUGGGCUUAAAGCGUCCGUAGCUGGAUUGUUAAGUCUCUUGGGAAAUCCACCGGCUCAACCGAUGGGCGUUCAGGAGAAACUGGCAAUCUAGGGACCGGGAGAGGUGAGAGGUACUCCAGGGGUAGGAGUGAAAUCCUGUAAUCCUUGGGGGACCACCUGUGGCGAAGGCGUCUCACUAGAACGGCUCCGACAGUGAGGGACGAAAGCUGGGGGAGCAAACCG